UUCUCAAAGGCCAAGGACAUUUUUUCGGCAUGGACUCUGAGCUUGUUGCCACAUAAACAAAUAGGAGGAUUUUGCUCCAGCCUCCCCAGUGUUUUUGGAUUGACAGUAAGUGCUAAGAGGGAGACAGAAGCCAAUAGGCAGCCAGGGACAGCUAGAAGCCCAGAAGAAAGCCGGGAAUUGUUGGCUCUGACUCCGUGCUCAGGGUGAGGCUGUGAGCAAAGCCUCAGCCGUGAAAAAUGUCUGGAAAACCUCUCGGCUGGACGUUUCACCCGUAGACCCAGAGGCUGGAUGAUGGAGGAGCGAAGAGAAUCUGCCAGGAUUGCCUUGCUUCAUGAGUACUUCUCACCUCUGGCUGCACACUGAGAUCACCUGUGAGGCUCUUAAAAGCUGCCAGUGUCAGGGCCCCACCCCAGGCCUGAUCUACUCUCCAGUCUUCAUUUCACUUUGAGCCUUGUGAGACCAACCUUCUUGGACUCUAUCAACUGGCUGACCCCCUUUCCUCUGACUUCUGAUUGUCCAAUGGGAGGCAUCAGCAGGAGGUUAGAAGCUUCUUCCUCAAGAAAAAGAGGAGACUGGACCUGUGCACCUCUCAGAACUCACUCUUUGGGUCUGUCAGGUACAAGCGGACUCCACAUUAAAAGCAAAGAUGAGAAGGAAAAUAUGUAGAAGGCAUCCAC